rnacentral:rRNA from 1 species
UGGGGGCACCCUGAACCNAGCANUGCCGCGUGGAUGAAGAAGGCCUUCGGGUUGUAAAGUCCUUUCGUGGGGGACGAAAAGGCGGGUCCUAAUACGAUCUGCUGUUGACGUGAACCCAAGAAGAAGCACCGGCUAACUCCGUGCCAGCAGCCGCGGUAAUACGGGGGGUGCAAGCGUUAAUCGGAAUCACUGGGCGUAAAGGGUGCGUAGGCGGUACGUUAGGUCUGUCGUGAAAUCCCCGGGCUCAACCUGGGAAUGGCGGUAGAAACCGGCGCACUAGAGUAUGGGAGAGGGUGGUGGAAUUCCAGGUGUAGCGGUGAAAUGCGUAGAGAUCUGGAGGAACAUCAGUGGCGAAGGCGGCCACCUGGCCCAAUACUGACGCUGAGGCACGAAAGCGUGGGGAGCAAACAGGAUUAGAUACCCUGGUAGUCCACGCCCUA